rnacentral:rRNA from 1 species
UGCUCCUACGGGACGCAGCAGUGGGGAAUAUUGCACAAUGGGGGAAACCCUGAUGCAGCGACGCCGCGUGAGUGAAGAAGUAAUUCGUUAUGUAAAGCUCUAUCAGCAGGGAAGAAAAUGACGGUACCUGAGUAAGAAGCCCCGGCUAACUACGUGCCAGCAGCCGCGGUAAUACGUAGGGGGCAAGCGUUAUCCGGAUUUACUGGGUGUAAAGGGAGCGUAGACGGCAGUGCAAGUCUGGAGUGAAAGGAGGGGGCUGAACCCCCGGACUGCUCUGGAAACUGUACGGCUGGAGAGAGGGAGAG